rnacentral:rRNA from 1 species
UACAGAGGUCUCAAGCGUUGUUCGGAAUUACUGGGCGUAAAGGGCUCGUAGGUGGCCAACUAAGUCAGACGUGAAAUCCCUCGGCUUAACCGGGGAACUGCGUCUGAUACUGGAUGGCUUGAGUUCGGGAGAGGGAUGCGGAAUUCCAGGUGUAGCGGUGAAAUGCGUAGAUAUCUGGAGGAACACCGGCGGCGAAGGCGGCAUCCUGGACCGACACUGACGCUGAGGAGCGAAAGCCAGGGGAGCAAACGGG